CAAAGAGUAAAACCUAAUUAUAUUGUUCUAUUAUGCCCCGGGAGCGUAAAUUUGGAACGAAUCGAUGUCAACGUUCACAAGAACCAAAACCGGAACAAUAUUAGACUACUCAGUUGCGCCCUAACAGUAUAACUUUGCAACGAGUACAUUUUCUCAUUCUAUCGAACAAAGAGUUAAAAUCAAAUUAUAUUGUUCUAUUAUGCCCCGAGAGUUGUAAUUUCGAGCGAAUCGAUGUCAACGUUCACAAGAACCAAAACUGGAACAAUAUUAGGCUACUCAGUUGCGCCCUAACAGUAUAACUUUGUAAUGAGUAUUUUUUUUCAUUCUAUCGAACAAAGAAUAAAACCUAAUUAUAUUGUUCUAUUAUGCCUCGAGAGUGUAAAUUUGGAACAAAUCGAUGUCAACCUUCACAAGAACCAUAACCGGAACAACAUUAGACUACUCAGUUGCGCCCAAACAGUAUAACUUUGCAACGAGUACUUUUUCUUAUUCUAUCGAACAAAGAGUAAAACCUAAUUAUAUUGUUCUAUUAUGUCCCGAGAGUGUAAAUUUGGAUCGAAUCGAUGUCAACCUUCACAAGAACCAAAACCGGAACAACA
rnacentral:lncRNA from 1 species